GGMAAGAGCCCAGCACUGAAUCCCGCGGUUGUCACGGCCGCGGGAGAUGUGGUGUUCGGGAGGUUCCGCUUUCUCGUCGUCGCAUCUCCUGUCCAAGUUCGUCUUGAACGGGGCCGUUUUCCCGUAGAGGGUGCCAGGCCCGUAGCGACGGAGGGCGGCGGCGAGAGGGACUCUCCUCAGAGUCGGGUUGCUUGAGAGUGCAGCCCUAAGUGGGUGGUAAACUCCAUCUAAGGCUAAAUAUUACCGCGAGACCGAUAGCGAACAAGUACCG
rnacentral:rRNA from 1 species